AUGCUCUACCACGAGAAGGCGGAGCACCAGAAGACGUGCGCCGUAUCAUCAACCGCCGGAUCGUUGGUGAGGACGGGUCCUUGCGGCGGCAUCGGUGGCAACGUCAGGGAGACAAGCAUGUCGGAUGUCAACCGAAUCGUCCAGGUCAUCGUCCGCCACUGGAACGCCGUGGACGCCAUUUCCGUCAUGUACGAGCGGAAGGGCAAGGAGGCGUGGGCCGACAGGUGGGGUGGCGAAGGCGGCAAGCCCUCCACGUUCAGUCUGCAGCAGGACGAGUACCUGACAAGCGUCCAUGGCCACUACGGCCAAUUCAAGGACUUUGUAGUCAUAAGAUCGCUGACGUUUGUCAGCAACCUUCGCAGCUACGGGCCGUACGGGAAGGAGGACGGCGUGCCAUUCGCGCUCCACGCCGGCCCCGGUGGCAAGAUUAUGGGCUUCCAUGCGCGAUCGGGCCAAUUCCUCGACGCGAUUGGCACCUAUGUGAAGAUGGACAAUUAUUGA
rnacentral:rRNA from 1 species